UUCCUGUCACCCAAAAGAUCAGAAGACAAAGAAGAUCUCUAAAGGGUGCAUGAUACACCUGGCCAGGCUUAACAAGAGGAAGAGGGAUAUCAAUAAUCCAGGAAUACAUCAAGAUGUCCACAGAGUAAUUCCCCCUGCUUUGGUGGAUCCUGACUCCAAUUCCUUUCUUUGAGUCCCACCCACGAUGCUCUUUCCUUACUCUUCUGAAAUCACUUCUGCAGGUAACCUAGUCCAUCCAAUUCUCCAGAAUAAUCUCUAUAGUCUAAGUAUUUUGGAGGAGGAAGCUGGCAAUAUGGCUUUCUACCACACACUAGAAGCUGAGACAGUGUUACAGUUGAAGAAGAGGCAGCACCUGAACAUCUGAUUGCACAGGACACUCUGAGUCUCUGGAUCAAGCAUGUUGGGGACCUUCUACAUAUUGUCACCAGGUAUUAGAGACUGUCUUGAUCACUAGCAACUCCUGAUCCAGGAUGAUAUAGUUAUACUCUUCCAUUGUCAAAUGGCUUCCUACACUAUUGAUUCCUACACACAUGGUUCCUACA